GGAUCUGAUUUCAUUUCCAGGUUGGAUGAGAACGAUCUGCUUCCUGUCGCCCACAUGAGAUGAUUUAGACAGAAUCUGCUGACUCAUCCCUGAUGAUCUGAUACCUGAUCAAUAACAUGGCCUGGAGAGCGGUUGCUGUGACGACCACACACUCAACAGUAUCAUUACAGAGUCGUCUUAAACCGACAGCAGCUCAUCAAUCAACAAAGUCAAACAAACAAACAAGGAGCUGAACAGGAUGAAGAAAGCAGUGUAUCACCUCUCUGUGCUCACACUCUUCAUCACUCGUACAGGAACGCUGAGUCAGCUUACUGGAGCACUGUGACAUCACUGAUGAUGUCAUCACCUGUCUCAAUACACAGUAUCUCUGUCUGUCUCUCUAUCUGUCUGUCUCUCUAUCUGUCUGUCUCUCUCUGUCUGAUUCCCUGUAAUUAGUUAUUCUAGUAAUGUUAUUACUCCCUGCCAACAGUAAUCAGUUACUUUAUAUUACUUUAUAACUUUAUAAACUUUACCAGUUUUAUUGGUUUAAAUCAAAGUAAUGGAGUAUUUCCAAACUAGCUUCCUCCACGAUUACAGACAGCAAAUGUAACUAAUUAAUGUUAUUUAAUAUUACAUCAGUAAUUAGUUACACUACUGACUGGAGAGUUAUUAUUGUUGUUAUUGUUGUUGUUGUUGUUAAUAAUGUAAUGAGUGAACAGUGAGUCCCAUUAUUGUGAUAUAUUUUAAAAACAGAUUUAAAAUGAAAUUGUAAUAUUGUCAGAGAGAGAGAGACAGGCAGAGAGAGAGACAGAGACAUGAGGAGAAUCUGGAGCAUUACGUCAUGUUAGCCCACCCCCCCCCCUACCCCUCCAUCACCUCUGUGCAGCAUCCGAGCUCUGAUUGGCCCCUCAGCCAGUGGCCUAUAAAUCCUAUUGGCUGAUCCUGAGUCAGCUGGUGCGGACAAGACAGAGGACAGGAGAGAGAGGGAGAGAUUCUUCAGAUAAAAGCAGCGGGACUCAGUUCAUCCUCAUCUG
rnacentral:lncRNA from 15 species